UCCUUGGUGGCCCAGUUGUUAGGACUUGGUGCUUUCACUGCCGCAGGCCUGGGUUCAAUCCCUGGUCAGGGAA
rnacentral:tRNA from 1 species